AUACGGAGGGUGCAAGCGUUAUCCGGAUUCACUGGGUUUAAAGGGUGCGCAGGCGGAUUUAUAAGUCAGAGGUGAAAUCUGUAGGCUUAACCUACAAACUGCCUUUGAUACUAUAGAUCUUGAAUGUCGCUGAGGUCAGCGGAAUAUAACAUGUAGCGGUGAAAUGCAUAGAUAUGUUAUAGAACACCGAUUGCGAAGGCAGCUGACUAAAGAACGAUUGACGCUGAGGCACGAAAGCGUGGGUAGCGAACAGGAUUAGAUACCCUGGUAGUCCACGCCCUAAACGAUGAUUACUCGACAUUUGCGAUACGAUAGUAAGUGUCUGAGCGAAAGCAUUAAGUAAUCCACCUGGGAAGUACGACCGCAAGGUUGAA
rnacentral:rRNA from 1 species